CUCCACCCACUUGUGGCCCGCUAAGGAAGCUGUCACCCAGUUAAGGUAGCUUGGAAGGAGGACAAGCUUGCCACCUGCUGCUGGACUGGUGCCGCAGAUACCCUAGCUGGAGGCCUCCAACUUCCUCAAAGCCAUGGGCAAAGGCAGAGCUGUGACACUCGGGAUAUUGCCAAAGCCCUCCCUGGGCACCACUCGACCAGCAUGACCGAAGGGUGAGACCGCAACACACCGUGAAGGAAAGAGGAAACCCACACACCCGAAAGGGGAGGCUGAGCCUGCCAGUCCCCGGAGUCAGGGUGAGGAGCGGCACCUUCUCCUAUCCCACCAGGUCACACCCGUGCCUGGGUUAAAUAGUGAGUUCCAGGCCAGCCAGGGUUACAGAUCAAGA